rnacentral:rRNA from 1 species
CCUACGGGCGGCUGCAGUAAGGAAUAUUGGUCAAUGGAGGAAACUCUGAACCAGCCAUCCCGCGUGAAGGAUGAAGGGGCUCUGCCUUGUAAACUUCUUUUGUCUGGGGCGAAAAAGCUCGAUUUAUCGAGAACUGACGGUACCAGACGAAUAAGCACCGGCUAACUCCGUGCCAGCAGCCGCGGUAAUACGGAGGGUGCCAGCGGCAUCCGGCAUCACGGGUUCUAAGGGGUGUUUGGGCGUCUUAGGAGAAAGGCUGUGGCUUAACCAUGGAAUUGCCAUUGAUACUGCAGAGCUUGAAUGAGGUUGAGGUUGGCGGAAUGUGACAUGUAGCGGUGAAAUGCUUAGAUAUGUCAUGGAACACCGAUUGCGAAGGCAGCUGACUGGACCUAUAUUGACGCUGAGGCACGAAAGCGUGGGGAGCGAACAGGAUUAGAUACCCCAGUAGUC